UACGUAGGGUGCGAGCGUUGUCCGGAAUUAUUGGGCGUAAAGAGCUUGUAGGCGGUUUGUCGCGUCUGCUGUGAAAUCUCAAGGCUCAACCUUGAGCUUGCAGUGGGUACGGGCAGACUAGAGUGUGGUAGGGGAGACUGGAAUUCCUGGUGUAGCGGUGAAAUGCGCAGAUAUCAGGAGGAACACCGAUGGCGAAGGCGGUUCUCUGGGACGGUACUGACGCUGAGACGCGAAAGCGUGGGGAGCGAACAGG
rnacentral:rRNA from 1 species